ACGCCGUAAACGGUGGGCGCUAGUUGUGGGAACCUUCCACGGUUUCUGCGACGCAGCUAACGCAUUAAGCGCCCCGCCUGGGGAGUACGAUCGCAAGAUUAAAACUCAAAGGAAUUGACGGGGCCCCGCACAAGCAGCGGAGCAUGCGGCUUAAUUCGACGCAACGCGAAGAACCUUACCAAGGCUUGACAUAUACAGGAAUAUGGCAGAGAUGUCAUAGCGGUAAAACGUCUGUAUACAGGUGGUGCAUGGUUGUCGUCAGCUCGUGUCGUGAGAUGUUGGGUUAAGUCCCGCAACGAGCGCAACCCUCGUUCUGUGUUGCCAGCAUUUAGUUGGGGACUCACAGGAGACUGCCGGGGUUAACUCGGAGGAAGGUGGGGAUGACGUCAAAUCAUCAUGCCCCUUAUGUCUUGGGCUGCACGCAUGCUACAAUGGCUGGUACAAAGGGCUGCAAUACUGCAAAGUGGAGCGAAUCCCAAAAAGCCAGUCUCAGUUCGGAUUGGGGCCCGCAACUCGACCCCAUGAAGUCGGAGUUGCUAGUAAUCGUAGAUCAGCAACGCUACGGUGAAUACGUUCCCGGGGCUUGUACACACCGCCCGUCACAUCACGAAGUCGGUAACACCCAAAGUCAGUGGCCCAACCGCAAGGAGG
rnacentral:rRNA from 1 species